GAAAAGGAUAUAGAAGUAGACUUAAUAGAGUUUCUUUAAAGAUUAAUUUUGGAUGAUUUGAGUGUGUAUUAACUUUGUAAGAGCUUUGCAAAAUAAGAGUUUGUUUUAUGUGACUCUAGAUUCAUGAAAUAAAAUAGAUGAUAUAUUUUGGAAAUUUUUCUAAAUUUGGUAGUAGAUCUAAGGGUGAAUUUUUUGUGUUUGUGGAUAUAGUUAUGUUUGAUGUGUAAUGUGAAUUUGGAUUUGAUUGAAUGGUUAGAUUGAGAAGUAUAAAGGUUUUUAUAGAUUAUAAUCUUAGAAUUUAGGGUUUUGAUGACCAGUGAGGUUUUCUUAGAUAAUGUCACGGCCAUAAUCAUGUAAGCUAAUAAUUACAUAUAGAAAUAGAUAGAAGUAAAUAAAAGUAGGUAAAAGAAAGUUAAUUCUAUAAUAUUUAAUAUGGAAGCUUUCUAGAAACUUCUUAGACAUUGCUUUGACUUCAUAGGUGUCUUUAAUUGACUUUUUGGAUUAGAAACAUGGUCAACAAGUUGGCCAUGUGCCACACAUGUUGUUAGCUUGAAGAUCGAGCUAACUAUGUGGCCCACACGUAAAAAAACUUACCUUGUAAGUCAAGGCAUGUGCCCUACAAAGUCAACACAUAUUGGAGGUCCUAUAGAACGUCGCCACGUAGCUCUUAGUAAGAUAGUAUAUAUAGAGACAAGAAUGAAGGCUUCUUCACUCUUGUCAACUCCUUUCUUGCUUCUAGUCUAGUUUCAAGGGUCUCUAGUUUUCUUGUCUUUUGGCAAUAGCCAUUCCAAUUCCUCUUUCAAUAUAUAUACUUAUUUAUAUAUAUUUUGUUACCUUUCUUCGAGUGAAGGCUCACUUGUCUGAAUUAUUUUUUUCAUCGAGUUCUUGUCGUUGAUAGAUUGACAAGAGUACACCUACAAUAUCAGAGCUUUGUCUAAUCUUGAUUAAGAGUGGAUUACCCCUUUUUUUUGAUAAGAUAUAAGCGUAUUAGAAGUUGUGGAUCACCCUCUUCUAAACUGAUAUUGUCCUUAAUAUUUUCUUUGUCCGCAAGUCCUCUUUUCUAGUUGUCUUGAGCGAUAUUAGACAUCUUCUCUCUUCCAAGUAUUAUCAUGGCAGAACUUCUUGAAAUGAAGAGUGCAAUGGCACAAAUGCAAGAGUAAUUGAGGGAGUUAAUGCUUCCAAUGCAUCAACUCAAUUUACCACCACAAGGAGCAACAAGAUUGAUAGGAAGUGAAGAUAUAGAAAUGGUUGGAGCUGCUUCAACAUCUGCACCAAACCAUGUCCUUUCUCCUAUGGUGGAAUGCCCUUCAAAUGUUAAAGAACCAAGAAUUGCCUUACUUGAGAAGUUUGAUGGCACCAAAUCUAAGUUUCAAGGAUUUAUCAAUCAAGUGCAACUUGUGAUUGAACUUCAAUCCCAAAGCUAUCCAACUCCAGGAUCACAAGUUAGAUUCAUUGGUACGCUUCUUUCAGGUUCGGUACUAUCGUGGUUUUCAUCUUUUCUUGAAUGACGAGAUCCAAUAUUGGAUAAUCUAGAGGCUUUUUUGGUGGAGUUUUGAUCCAUGUAUGGAGAACAUGAUGCAAUUCGUGUUGCAACCAAUAAGAUCCAUAUUUUAAGACAAGGCAAUCGAUCAGUAACGUUAUAUGCUUCACAAUUUCGACAACUUGUAACUGAUAUCAAGUGGGAUGAUGCUGCACUUAUUAGCCAAUUUCUCUACGGAUUACAAUAUGAGGUAAAAAAAUUAAUGCUCAACUUACCCGAUCCUCAAACAUUGAGUCAAGCAAUUGACUUUGCUGUGAAGUGCGACAAUCGCCUUUUUGAAUUCCGAUCUGAGAACCGUACAAGUAGACCUCAACGUUACUAUAAUUCAAUGGCAAUACCAACACCUCUUCAACACAUACAUUCCAAAGUAGAGGAUAUGCAAAUUGAUGUAGUACAUUUCAAACCUCUUACUCAGCAAAAAAAGACUCGUCGUCGUCAAGAAGGAUUAUCUUUAUAUUGUGGAGAAUCAAAGCACACUGCUCAACAUUGUCCAAAGACACGACACAAUCACAAAAUGAGGAAUAUGGCUGUGAAAGAAGAUAAUAUGUCAAAAAACGAGUUUAUCCAGCUACAAUAGGGACCGUGCGGCUGGAACCUUGCACAACAUCUAGUAAAGGUCCUAUUCUUUCCUCAGAGCCCUCUCCUUGUUUUACAUUAAAUGUUAUUUUAGGACCUAAACAUUAUAAAGUCUCUGCCUAGUUAGAUUCAGGAACCUCAGCGUAUUUUUUAGAUGAAGAAUUUACUAAAAGAUAUAGCAUAUCUUUAGUAAAGAAAACUAAACCUGUUCAUGUAGAAGUCAUAGAUGGUCGUCCAUUGUCUUCUGGAGAUAUUACUCACAAAACCCUUCCUAUAGAAGUAAUAAUCAAUGGUCAUAAUAGUUUUGUAGUAUUUAAUAUCAUUAGAUCUCCCUCUAAUCCAGUCAUUUUAGGUUUAUCGUGGUUAGAAAAAUACAACCCUCAAAUAGAUUGGAUUUCCCGAACUCUUGCUUUCUCUAAAAGUAUAACUAAUAGUGUAGUUAAUCAAGUAGAGAGUCAAAAGUCCAGUUCAAUUAAACCCGUAUUUAUAGGUGCAAAAGCUUUCUUGUAUGCUGCUAUGAAAGAAUCACCAUACAUUGUUUAUGCUACACUCGUUUCUACUGGUGAGAAGACUUCAAGUGGCAUUCCAAGCCAAUAUUAAGAAUUUCAAGAUGUAUUUGAAAAAAAGAAUGCGGAUACACUCCUGGAACAUCGUCCCUAUGAUUGUUCAAUUGACCUUCAAGAAAGAGCACAACCGCCAUUCGGACCAAUCUAUAGUUUAUCACAGAAUGAGUUGGCUGAACUCAAGGAAUAUAUUGAAGAAAAUCUAGCCAAGAAUUUCAUACGCCAUUCUAAAUCUCCGACAGGAGCUCCAAUUCUAUUUGUGAAGAAAAAAGAUGGAUCAUUGCGGAUGUGUGUUGAUUAUCGAGGACUCAACAAGAUUACCAUCAAAAACAGGUAUCCACUACCUUUAAUAUCCGGACUUCUUGAUCAGCUCAAUCAAGGUAAGAUCUAUACAAAAAUAGAUCUUCGGGGAGCAUACAAUCUAGUACGCAUCAAAGAAGGAGAUGAAUGGAAGACUGCAUUUCGAACUAGGUAUGGACAUUUUGAAUACAACGUCAUGCCUUUUGGACUUACAAAUGCACCAGCAGCUUUUCAACAUCUAAUGAAUGAUGUUUUUUGAGAGUUUUUGGACGAUUUUGUGGUCUGUUAUUUAGACGACAUCUUGAUCUAUUCUAAUAAUUCAAAAGAACAUGAACUUCAUGUUCGUCGUGUAUUACAAAAAUUAAGAGAUGCAAGACUCUAUGCUAAGAUAGAAAAGUGUGAAUUCCACACUCCUCAAGUCGAUUUCUUAGGUUACAUCAUUUCAAAUGAUGGACUUAUGAUGGAUCCUAAGAAAGUUCAAACUAUUAUAGACUGGAAGAUUCCAAAAACGGUAAGAGAUGUCCAAUGUUUUUUGGAAUUUGCCAACUACUAUCGGAUCUUCAUCAAAGACUUCUCUCGAGUUGCAGCUCCACUUUAACGUUUGACUUGUAAAGACAAACUCCAAUGGAAUCAAGAAGCGAAAGUUGCUUUUGAAUCUUUGAAGACAGCGUUUGUUUUUGCACCAAUCUUGUAUCGUGUUGAUUUUUCCAAAGCAUUUUUUAUGGAAACAGAUGCAUCGGACUUUGCUCUGGGUGCGGUUUUAUCACAAAUGGGAACAGAUGACAAACUUCAUCCAGUAGCCUUUCAUUCAAGAAAAUUCUCAGCAGCAGAAAUCAAUUAUGAGAUCCAUGACAAAGAACUUCUUGCACCAAAAGAAGGAGAUGCAAUUUUUGAGCAACAAAGAACGGUUCUCUUGAAGCCAAAAUAAUUUCAUCUUCGAGCGAUAAAAUCAACAUUGACUAUUGAUUUAACUUUCCUUAAGCAAGUCCAGUUAAGUAUGUCUUCAGACCCUCUUGUUCAUGAUAUCAAGAACAAUUCUUCUAAAUCUCAUGAUCCAUCUAAAUUUGAAUUCAAAAACAACCUACUCUAUUUCGAAGGAUGCCUAUAUGUUCCAAAAAGAGAAGCAUGUUUACGUGUUCUUCAAGCUCGUAACGACUUCUCAGCAGUAAGACAUUUUGGAUAUAAUAAGACUUUAAAGCUGAUAUCUAGAGAUUUUUGGUGGCCUCAAAUGUGGAAGGUAGUUAAAGAUUUUGUACAAUCAUGUGAUGUUUGCUCAAGAUCGAAAACUCCUCGUCAUCGACCUUUUGGACUUCUUCAGCCAUUACCCAUUCCAGAACAACCAUGGUCUUCUGUUUCUAUGGACUUCAUCACGGAUCUUCCAAUCUCAGGUUCUUAUGAUUCUAUAUUUGUGAUAGUAGAUCGUUUUACCAAGAUGGCACAUUUUGUACCAUGUACAAAAUCUAUCACAAGUGAAGAAACAACUAAGCUCUUUCUUGACAAUAUCUAUCGCUAUCAUGGAUUAUCCAAGGAUAUUAUAUCAGAUAGGAGAACUCAAUUUGUAUCAAGAUUUUGGCGGACUCUUUUCAAGAUUCUUAAAGUGGAUAUAAAACUAUCUUCGGCAUUCCAUCCUCAAACUGAUAGAUAAACGGAGCAUGUUAAUCAAGUUUUGGAGCAAUAUUUAAGAUGUACCAUUAAUUACCAACAAGAUGAUUGGACAACUCUUUUGCCAUUGGCAGAGUUUGCUUACAAUAACACGAUACACUCUUCUACAAAACAAACACCUUUCUUUGUUAAUUAUGGUUAUCAUCCACGACUUGAUACUUUUGACUUUUCAAAAGUUGAUAAUCCUGUUACGAAAGAUUUGGCAAUUCAUUUAUCAGAGCUACAUGCAACGAUGAAGGCGCAGUUAAAAGACGCUCAAGAACAACAAAAGGCUAAUGCAAAUGUCUAUCGAAAGGAACAACCAUCAUUCGUCUUGGGUGAUAAGGUAUGGCUACUUCGUCGCAAUAUCAAGACCACUCGUCCUUGUGACAAAUUGGACUAUCGAAGGCUAGGACCAUUUUCUAUUUCUGCACAAAUCAAUCCAGUUGCAUAUCGUUUAGAUCUACCAGAGUCAAUGAAAAUCCAUCCAGUAUUCCACGUGUCUCUUUUUGAACCAUACAAGACAGUGGACAUACCAAGAAGACAACAAGCUCCACCUCAUCCUAUAGAAGAGGACAAUAAUAAAGAGUUUGAAGUAGAAGAAAUCUUAGAUUCAAGGCGGCGUCGAAAUAAAUUAGAAUAUCUUGUCCAUUGGCGCGGAUAUGGUAUUAGUGAACGCACAUGGGAGCCAUUAAAGAAUCUUGCAAAUGCAGCAAAGGCGAUGGAGGCUUUUCAUCAACGACAUCCAUCAAAAUCAAGAUAUAAAAGAAACAACAUCUUUAUAAAAGAAACAACAUCUAGGCAAGAUAACAUUCUACUUUCAAUUCUUAUUCGUAGCUUCAUUGUAGUAGUGGCGCUCAGGAGAUGGAGAACCAACAACCAGUGGAUUCAACUCAAGAGCCUUCAUUUGCUGACCUACCGGACGAGACAUUACAAUUGUCACAACCUUCAAGACGACACAAUCGAGAUGAAGAUCUUCAAGAACGAAAUAUUCUUCCUCGAAUAUAUGGUGACAUACAACGUAUUUGGUAUCACGAUUUGGGAAGGGACUCUCGAUGUUUGGUGAUUUUGCUAGAGGUAGGAACAACUCCUGAUGGUGUUCCAAAUAUUCUAUUCGAAAGAAGUUACGAAGGCCUCAACAAUGAUCAAAUAAUUGGGUGGUCUUCCCGCCCUGGUAUGGGACACUACCGAUGGUUGAGAGGCCCUAUCAAUCAUCUUCGAAGAGAACAGAGAUCAGAGAUGUGGCGAAUACAAUUCGUCGCAUCAUAGAUUUCUUCAACAUAUGAUGACCACUCCUCGUGGAACUCGUCCCUAGAAGGGGGGGUAAUGUCACGGCCAUAAUCAUAUAAGCUAAUAAUUACAUAUAGAAAUAGAUAGAAGUAAGUAAAAGUAGGUAAAAGAAAGUUAAUUCUAUAAUAUUUAAUAU
rnacentral:lncRNA from 1 species